UGAGGGUGUUUCUGCUGAGUUUGGAGAAAGACAUCAGCCAAGUCAAACUGGUCUCUGCAGAAACAGCUACCCACAGCAGAGUGAGGAGGAAAAGGGUUACUCCAGCUUGUCACAAACACACAGCAUGAAGCAGAGGAAUACUAAUGACAUUAUGCAAGAUGAAGGGGAGCAACUAGAUUCCUCAGCUCAAUCAAUUAAUCUCUUCCACUAUCAACCACGCCUUGCUCAUUUGAAGAUUUCUACAUCUGAAAUAGGGCAAGCUCCAAAUCCUGAACAUUCUCCCAUAAAACCUUUUGACUACCAUGAAGAAGGU